UUGAAGCGCCUCGGAUGG
rnacentral:snRNA from 1 species